UACAGAGACUGCAAGCGUUAUUCGGAUUCACUGGGCGUAAAGGGUGCGCAGGCGGCCAAGUGUGUGAGGCGUGAAAGCCUGGGGCUUAACUCCAGAAUUGCACCUCAAACUACAUGGCUAGAGCAUUGGGGAGGGUAGCAGAAUUCACGGUGUAGCAGUGAAAUGCGUAGAUAUCGUGAGGAAUACCAGGGGCGAAGGCGGCUACCUGGACAAUUGCUGACGCUCAGGCACGAAAGCGUGGGGAGCAAAAGGG
rnacentral:rRNA from 1 species